CUUGGUCAUUUAGAGGAAGUAAAAGUCGUAACAAGGUUUCCGUAGGUGAACCUGCGGAAGGAUCAUUAGUGAAUUGAAUAUGUUAGCGGACCUCUUCGGAGUCCCUAGCAUCAAAUCAUAUCCAUAACACCUGUGAACUGUAAGGCUGUCUUGAAAACGAAAGUGAUUAGAGCGCCUGCCCAUUUUAUACAAACAUUAAAGUAACAAACGUAGUCUUAUUAUAAUCUAAUAAAACUUUCAACAACGGAUCUCUUGGCUCUCGCAUCGAUGAAGAACGCAGCGAAAUGCGAUAAGUAAUGUGAAUUGCAGAAUUCAGUGAAUCAUCGAAUCUUUGAACGCACCUUGCGCUCUUUGGUAUUCCGAAGAGCAUGCCUGUUUGAGUGUCAUGAAAAUAUCAACCUUGACUUGGGUUUAGUGCUCUUGUCUUGGCUUGGAUUUGGCUGUUUGCCGCUCGAAAGAGUCGGCUCAGCUUAAAAGUAUUAGCUGGAUCUGUCUUUGAGACUUGGUUUGACUUGGCGUAAUAAGUUAUUUCGCUGAGGACAAUCUUCGGAUUGGCCGAGUUUCUGGGACGUUUGUCCGCUUUCUAAUACAAGUUCUAGCUUGCUAGACAUGACUUUUUUAUUAUCUGGCCUCAAAUCAGGUAGGACUACCCGCUGAACUUAAGCAUAUCAAUAAGCGGAGGA
rnacentral:rRNA from 3 species